AUACGGAGGGUGCAAGCGUUACUCGGAAUCACUGGGCGUAAAGCGCGCGCAGGCGGCUAUUUAAGUUGGAUGUAAAAGCCUACGGCUCAACCGUAGAACUGCAUCCAAAACUAUUUAGCUAGAGUGUGGGAGAGGAAGAUGGAAUUAGUUGUGUAGGGGUAAAAUCCGUAGAGAUAACUAGGAAUACCAAAAGCGAAGGCAAUCUUCUGGAACACUACUGACGCUGAGGCGCGAAAGCGUGGGGAGCAAACGGGAUUAGAAACCCUAGUAGUCC
rnacentral:rRNA from 1 species